CGCACGGGUGAGUAACACGUAAGCAAUCUGGCUACAGGAGGGGGAUAACAUCGGGAAACCGGUGCUAAUACCGCAUGAUGCAGCGGGGCCGCAUGGCCACAGUUGUUAAAGGAUUUCGGUCCGCCUGUAGAUGAGCUUGCGGGCCAUUAGUUAGUUGGUGAGGUAACGGCUCACCAAGGCGAUGAUGGCUAGGGGUUCUGAGAGGAUGGUCCCCCACACUGGAACUGAGACACGGUCCAGACUCCUACGGGAGGCAGCAGUGAGGAAUAUUGCGCAAUGGGCGAAAGCCUGACGCAGCCACGCCGCGUGCCGGAAGACGGUCCUAUGGAUUGUAAACGGCUUUUGCCAGGGAAGAACCAUCUCGAUUUGUCGGGAUCUGACGGUACAUGGUGAAUAAGCACCGGCUAACUCCGUGCCAGCAGCCGCGGUAAUACGGAGGGUGCAAGCGUUGUCCGGAAUCAUUGGGUGUAAAGGGUGCGUAGGCGGGUCUUUAAGUCUGGGGUGAAAUCCUGCGGCUCAACCGUAGAAUGGCCUCGGAUACUGGAGACCUUGAGUAUGACAGAGGGUGGCGGAAUUCGUAGUGUAGCGGUGAAAUGCAUAGAUAUUACGAAGAACACCAGUGGCGUAGGCGGCCACCUGGGUCAUAACUGACGCUGAGGCACGAGAGCGUGGGGAGCGAACAGGAUUAGAUACCCUGGCAGUCCACGCCGUAAACGAUGUAUACUAGGUGUCGGUCCUUUUGGGGGUCGGUGCUGCAGCUAACGCAUUAAGUAUACCACCUGGGGAGUACGUUGGCAACAAUGAAACUCAAAGGAAUUGACGGGGGCCCGCACAAGCGGUGGAGCAUGUGGCUUAAUUCGAUGCAACGCGAAGAACCUUACC
rnacentral:rRNA from 1 species